UUCUCCACCCCAGCGUGCGGAGGGUGGCAGCGGCCCUGAUCCGUCCUACUCCGCCAGUCACCUAGGUGCCGAUUCCCCAGCGGGUCUGCUGGGGUGAGGUUCUGCAAGCCUGUGACUUGUCAGGAGGAUAAGGAGCUCUCCUAAAACGUUGACCCCCUAGCACGAUGCCUGGCACAUAAUAGGCAUUCAAUUUCCAUUUGUUGAACGAAUUCGAUGAAAUAAUGAAUGAAUUAAGGAUAACGGGCGAGAGAAGGGAAGGUUGGCGCAGUGUGACUGCAAUCCCCUCCCGGGAACCCAUUCUCAGGGAAACUGCUUCUUUAAGUGAGGUGCCAGGCGUAGGAUAUCCCUAGGACAGCUUCUCCCGUAGGGUACUAAAAAGUUGGGAGCGCAGCCAGAGGAGACCAAAGGGGGCGUAUUGGCUGGCCCCCCUAGGCGUGCCGUAGCCGGUUUCGGGCUCAGCGAGACAGCGGAGGCGGAGAUAGGACCCGGCUACGGGUCUCUGGACACACCAGCGGCUAGUGAGCUCGCGUACUGUGGGGAGGGGCAGCAGAGGCGCGGCGCCUUUAAGCCGGGCACCGGCCUCGCGGCCCCGCCUUCCGGAGGACGCCAGGGCGCGCGGCCGCCGGAGUCGCUGUUUAAUUG
rnacentral:lncRNA from 1 species